rnacentral:rRNA from 1 species
CCUACGGGUGGCUGCAGUGGGGAAUAUUGGACAAUGGGCGCAACCCUGAAGCAGCAACGCCGCGUGAAGGAUGAAGGUUUUAGGGUUGUAAACUUCUUUUGUUAGCGAAGAUUAUGACGGUAUCUAACGAUUAUGCACCGGCUAACUCCGUGCCAGCAGCCGCGGUAAUAUGGAGGGUGCAAGCGUUACUCGGAAUCACUGGGCGUAAAGAGUGCGUAGGCGGGGUAAUAAGUCAGAUGUGAAAUCCUGUAGCUUAACUACAGAACUGCAUUUGAAACUGUUACUCUGGAGUGUGGGAGAGGUAGGUGGAAUUCGUGGUGUAGCGGUAAAAGGCGUAGAGAUCAAGAAGAAUACGCAUUGCGAAGGCGACCUGCUGGAACAUUACUGACGGUGAUGCACGAAAGCGUGGGGAGCAAACAGGAUUAGAUACCCGUGUAGUC